rnacentral:rRNA from 1 species
UACAGAGGUCUCAAGCGUUGUUCGGAUUCAUUGGGCGUAAAGGGCAGGUAGGUGGUCUGAUUUGUCAGGGGUGAAAGCCUUGGGCUUAACCUAAGAAGUGCCCCUGAAACGGUCAGACUAGAGUGCUGGAGAGGGUCGUGGAAUUCCCGGUGUAGCGGUGAAAUGCGUAGAGAUCGGGAGGAACACCAGAGGCGAAGGCGGCGACCUGGACCGACACUGACGCUGAGGAGCGAAAGCCAGGGGAGCAAACGGG